rnacentral:tRNA from 3 species
GGAGAGCUGACCGAGAGGCCGAAGGUGCUCGCCUGCUAAGCGAGUACACCCCACAAGGGUGUCUGGGGUUCGAAUCCCCAGCUCUCCGCCA